AUACGUAGGUCCCGAACGUUGCGCGAAAUUACUGGGCGUAAAGGGUCCGUAGGCGGUCUGGUAAGUGGAAGGUGAAAGCCUGGGGCUCAACUCCAGAAUUGCCUUCCAAACUGCCGGACUUGAGGCAGGGAGAGGUCGGCGGAAUUCCCGGUGUAGUGGUGAAAUGCGUAGAUAUCGGGAGGAACACCGGUGGCGAAGGCGGCCGACUGGAACUGUCCUGACGCUGAGGGACGAAAGCCAGGGGAGCGAACCGGAUUAGAUACCCUAGUAGUCC
rnacentral:rRNA from 1 species